CUCUCACUUCAAAGCAGGUCUUGUAACUCCGUCACAGCACUAGUUACACAAUCGGGAAGUACACGAGCUAUUCACAGCAUCCGGCCACGAGUGGAGACCCAGGGGUAGCAGAGCAGCACCCACAGGAUGUGUCUACAGCCAGCAGGACACAAACCAGCCAGAAGGCCAAGUGCAGUCCAGCCUUGUGUCCUCAUUAGAAGAUGACCAGAAAGCCCCACCAUCUAAAAACAUCCCUUGCCAGAUCGUGCCAUACGGCCUGUGCCUCCAUGAUGAGGAAUCAACUCUUUUUGGUUUAAGGAUGAAGACUGAUGGAAGUGAUGACUUAUAAGGAUAAGCCAGCUGCAGUCACGAGGAAUUGACUAGAUCACAUCCAAUAAGACGGGAAUUAGUCAUGAGGACUACAUGGUAAGCGUUACUGUCAUCCCUAACAGCCCUGAGAUGAAGCAACGUCCAAAGUCAUACAACUGGGAAGUGGUAAAACGGGCCUUUGAAGCAGACAGUGCAACUCUGGGACCAAGACUGUGCUCCUUUUGCUACAGUAAUGCCCUGCGGGAGAGCCCUGCACCCGAGGACAGGGACUGUCCCCACAUGACUGAACUAACGGUGGACAGAAAGCAGGAAUUCCUGCCGUGCUCCUUCAGCUCUUAUAAACUAGACUUGUGAUGCAUUUCUCAGAAGGUCACAGUCUCGUUGGGUGAGCUAGUGGGAGCAGGUAGAAAGAUGAAGAUGAGCAAAAAGCAGAAACUACAUACAAGUGGUGCCAGGUUGGUGGGGAAUGGCUCCUUAACUCUUGUGUGACAUAGCCUCCAGCCUCUUGCAGUGUUAUUUGCAUCUUCUACCCUUUCACCCUGUCUCUCAAGCUAGUCACAAGCUCCCUGAGGUCCUGACCUGGGUCAGUCAUGGCUCCAUAUUCCCCUUAUGGCUUGUGCAAAGCAGAUGCCUCAUAGAUGCUGCAUGAUUUACGUGCACUGUGGACGUUUUCCCAUGGAGGCUGAGCACCAAGCUGGCUCUUCAUGGAAGUGAUGCGUGAACGUGUACAGAGAAAGGGUGAGAAGGCAGCCAUGUGUCCAAGAACAAAGCCGUGGUGGUUGUGAACAGACGGAGUCAUGGGGAGUGGUUGGCUUGCACCAAGGUCUCAUGCUGGACUGUGACCAAACCAGGUAUUUACUCAUGCAGGACCUCAUAGUCUAUGCCAGAGCAUUCAGAGAUUAUUCCAUAGGCAAUUUGGAUCACUGGCUGAUGACACAGGGAAGGAAGGAAUCUUCCAAGGGUUUUGUUUGCUGACAUGAGAGCUUCCAAGGCCCAGAGUUAGAAUGAUCAGAGAGAAUGUUGAGAAACAAUUUCCAGGAAGGGAGGAGAUGGCAAUUAAGUCACACAUUUAAUUUACUUUUUUAACAUGCUGAGUGGUAGCCAGCAGUAAACAAAUACAUGCGUCUCUAUACUAUUCUGAUAGAGAAGCUUCCCAGAACUGCCUGGACUAAGGAACAGAGGUGGAUUCAUGUAGUUCCCUGUCUCUUUGUAAGUCUUCCUGUUUCUGCCUGCUUUAUCAGAAUAGUUCCACCACUCCUUUUUCAGCAGGGCUAGUCUCCUGUCCUAGGCCCAGAGCAAGGAAGAGUAAUCAGAGAAAGCCAUUGGCAACGGAUCAUAGAGAUCUGCAGCAGGGGACUGGAGCUGCUGAUGCCUAGGGCUGAAUCUGGCUCCAAAAUCACUAUUCCUUCUAUGAACUUGGGCAAGUUGUUGAACUGCUUUGGGUCUUCAUUGCUUCAUGUAUAAAAUGGGGACAGUUCAGCACUUAACUGCAGAUUGCUGAGAGCAUAAAAUGAGACCGAGCAUGCAAAGCAUUUAGCCAAGUGCCCUGGUACACAGAUUUUUCUAACUUGUAUUUUCCUAGAUUCUGUAUCCGUCUACUUGGCAUCCAUUAAAUUACAGGGCCACACUAACAGCCGAACAUGCUUACAUGUCCGCUGCGAUUCAGAGCCUGUACUCGGAACCACCUCUUUAUCUUACAGUCCACGCACCAAAUCAACAUUUCUCUGCCCUGCUUUCCCCAGGGCCAGGCACCGGACAGCUAGGGACAGCCCCUCCUUCCAAGGCCUGCCAGAAUAUUCAAGCAAGCUAAUCCUAAGCUGUUCCCCUGUCUGGCCUUGCAGGGGCAACCCUACUGAAACCCCACUAAAAGGCUUUCCUCACUCCUUUCUGCCUCCUGACCCACACUGGAGCUUCCCCACGUGGCCCUGUGUGGCAUACCACGUCCCUCCUCCUGGGACACGUAAGGAAUAAAAAUCUUCUUUCAGGGGCAUUAGACUCUGUGUUGUUACUCAGUCACCUGUAUAAAUUAAAAUGCCAUGGGCACAAUCAUUGAGACAAUAGAGCUCAAUAAAUAAUACAUUUUACAUAGACCAUAACAUAGAAUCAGCCAAUUUAUCUCUUCUACUCGUCCUUUCUCUCCUUACUGUCACUUUCAUAGUUCUGGCCUGAAUCACAAUAGCCUCUUUAACAUACCUUCUAUAUUCAAUUAUUAUUUACUCAGAGCAUCUCUUCACAUGGCUCGCUUCUAAAACUCAAGCUAAGGUUACCCUCCACCAGGAAAGCUGGAUGUAUAGUUCCUUAUGGUCUACAGAUCGAGUCGAAUCUCCUAUCUUGGUAGUUAGGCUUUCUAGGGUCUGGCUUGGAACUACAGCCAUACUGGAUGGCUCAACAUUCCCUACGAAUGCCAUUAGCUUUUCCUACCUCUGUGCUUUUGCCCAGGUAGUACCUGCCCUUGGGAUCCUCUUUUUUCUGUUCUCUAAAUAUGGAAAUCACAAUGUACUAAUGGGGCUUUUGAGUUUACUUCUAUAUUAUAAUUGCCCUUAACAGUACAUAACUAAAUUAAUUUCAAGUCUUCAGUAUGACUUAGUAGAAUCUUCAUGAGUUAAAAAAUACCGAAAGCCUCACAAGAGCAAACAUUAACUAUUAGUCCUAAUUUCAGAGUUGAAAGUAUCCUCAAUGAUUUGGAAGGGCCAAUUCAAGUUCUACUUACUUGGAAAACUCUGUACUAUCUCUUAAAAUUAACCACUUUUUCCUCUAAUAUCCAUUUAGCACUUACUUAAUUCUGUCUAUUCAUAUCAUAUUUAUUGUAUUCUUUUACAUUUUUUUUCUCUAGAUCACAAACACUUUUUUUGAGGUCAAGGACAAGCCUUACAUAGAUCCUAAAAGUCGUCAUCACAAGAGAAAAAAUUCUAUACCUAUAUAUGGUGACAGAUGUUAACUAGACUUAUUGUGGUGACCAUUUCAAAAUAUAUACAAAUAUCAAAUCGUGCUGUACACAUGAAAGUAACAUAAUGUUAUAUGUCAGUUAUACCAAAAAAGAAAAAAAGGAGUCUUAGAAAUUAUUUUGUCUUUCCAGCAGGCCCUUUGGUCUUACAUGUAUAUAAAAGCUGCUUAGUGAAUAUUUAUUGAGUUAUGAGACCUACAAUUAUUCUAAUUAAAACAAAGGGUUCUUAUCAAAUGGUAAUUUCAAAGUUUAUUAUGGGCAAAGUUGGGAAAAGACCUCCAUAACUCAUCUAAAUUAAGUAAAAUUACUAUAGGGCAGAGUAAAAGAGUAUUAAAUUCCAUCAGAAAACAGUGACAGAUACAGUAAACUAUUUUAAAGCAUUAUUGCCAUAUUUAGUCAUUACCAUUAAUUAUGAAGUGAGAUUAAUAUUAAUUUUGGUUUACAAAGAUAAAAUGCUUUUCAUUUAUAAACAAAUCAUAUUGCAAUCUAGGUGUGCAGUUUCUCAGUAUUCACUUUAUCCAGGCCUGAAAUUAUUUGGCCAUGUGUGGGAUAAGGUUAAAAUUCCAGUCUGCUUCAAACCUCUCCCAGUCCUAGCUAGACAGCAACCCAGGUCCCUGUUCCUUCAAGCCCCAGCUGGCACUGAAUGAGGAAAUAGGUGUGGGUAGAACUCAGUCAUACUGUCUUUAAUGGCUACCUGAAACUUCUCCCAGGUCCUCAAUAAAUAUUUGAACUGACUUCAUCAUCUUCCUCCCAGCAUAACUGUUGAAAAAGAAAGUUGGCUGAGAUUUAUAGUUACCUGUUCUCAGUAGGUGGGUGGUUGGGCUUGGGGAGGAAUGAGAAUUAUUCCACUGAUACAAGAAGCUGAUCCCAGCAGACACAAAGAAGGAAAUGGUGGUUUAGAAAGAAUCUUAAAAAUUACUCAAAGAUGAUUACAGGCUGUCACUGAGAAAUGAGGAAGGAAGGGCUUUCCUUCUGACUAUAGGGUAUAUAGCUCUAUAGUAAGAAAUUAUUUUAUGUUUAGGCCAAUGGUAGUCUGUAUGCCUUCUGAAAUGUAAAGAGCAGUAAGAACUUAGGUAUGUGGUACGGCUUACAAAGCAUCAAGACAGAUUACACAGGUCAUAGAUGAAACCAGUUUCCUUACUUUAUAACAUCUUGCAUCUCACCUUCCUGAAGUCACUGCUCUCAGUCCCUGGAUGCCUGCUUCACAAAGCACAAUGGGCAUGGUGGAUUUAGAGAGUAUCAAGCCACUUAGCUCUCCCUGGGCUCAUCAUCUAGAUAAGUAGGGAGGACCACAGGGAAAUGAAUGCUAUGCAGGUCACUCUGCAAAUGAGCAACACAACCAAGCCUUUCCAGCACUCAUGGGAGCUUCAUUGAAGAACAGAAGUUCAUUAAACAAAUCACUUAGCUGCAAUUUAAAAUUUACAAAUGUUUGUUCCCAGUUAGAUAUUGAGAAAGUGUGGAAAUCAUCUGUAGCAGAGAUAUCUUUAAAAACCAUUCACCUGUCCAUCUCAAGGUAAAUGUGCUGAAUAAUUCCUCUCUGCCAGGACCUGGAUAGCCAUUAGGGAUGACAAGAUUUUUUAAAAGAUUAAUCUAUGGCCCCGUUUUUAAGAACUAACCAAAAAUACUCCUAAGAGUCUCCUCAUACUUAAAUAACUUAAAUACAAAAAUACCAGUAGACUGAAAAAUACCUAGAGUAUGUAAGGAAGGGAGAAUAAAAUAGAAAGGAACUAAAACGUACUAUCAGGCCAUAGAAAAGAAUGAAGUUCUGAUAAAUGCUAUGGAUGAAUCAUGAAAACAUGCUCCAGGAAAUAAGCCAGACAUGAAAGGACAAAUGUUGUAUGAUUCUACUUGUAUGAAAUGUCAAAUUCAUAGGGACAGAAAGUAAUUUAGAGGUUAACAUUAAAGGAGAAGGCAGCGAAGAUGGGGAAUAUUGCUUAAUGGUUACAGAAUUCCCGUUUGGGGUUAUGAAAAAGUUUUGGAAGUAGAUAGUGGUGAUGGUCACACAAAAUUGUGAAUGUAAUUAAUACCACUGAAUUAUACUUUGAAAUGGCUAAAAUGGCAAAUUUUGUUAUAUACAUUUUAGCACAACUUAAAAAAAGAUAAUAUAUCACUGAAUUGUACCCUUUCAAUCCGUGAAUUGU